UUUGGAUUAAUAAUGCCACUAGGGAACAGGUGGAAAUCAUAUUCUUUCCCAUCGACAACCACAGUAUGACCUGCGUUGUUCCCACCCUGGCAGCGGCACACGAUGUCCGACUCGGUGGCCAGCAGGUCCACCACCUUCCCCUUGCCUUCGUCCCCCCACUGCGCCCCCAGCACCACUGUCACUUUGUUACCGCCCGGCUCGCUGCGCGCCCGCUUCAGCCCGCCGCCGGCGCCGGGGUGACUGGUGCGGUCGUUGGACGCCCGGGUGCCCGACAUGGUGCUGGCAGUGUGGCCGCAGCCGUCGCCUCGCUAUGCCUCGCCCGCCCCCAGCCGAGCCCGGCCCCUGCGCGCUACCCGCGCCGCGCCGCCGCCUCCGGCCUUUAACGGCGCCGCCGCCGC
rnacentral:lncRNA from 1 species